UACGGGGGGGGCAAGCGUUGUUCGGAAUUACUGGGCGUAAAGGGCUCGUAGGCGGCCAACUAAGUCGGACGUGAAAUCCCCAGGCUCAACCUGGGAACUGCGUCCGAUACUGGAUGGCUUGAAUUCGGGAGAGGGAUGCAGAAUUCCAGGUGUAGCGGUGAAAAUGCGUAGAUAUCUGGAGGAAUACCGGUGGCGAAGGCGGCAUCCUGGACCGACAUUGACGCUGAGGAGCGAAAAGCUAGGGGAGCAAACGGGG
rnacentral:rRNA from 1 species